CCUACGGGUGGCAGCAGUGAGGAAUAUUGGUCAAUGGACGAGAGUCUGAACCAGCCAAGUAGCGUGAAGGAUGACUGCCCUAUGGGUUGUAAACUUCUUUUAUAUGGGAAUAAAAUGUUCCACGUGUGGGAUUUUGUAUGUACCAUAUGAAUAAGGAUCGGCUAACUCCGUGCCAGCAGCCGCGGUAAUACGGAGGCUCCGAGCGUUAUCCGGAUUUAUUGGGUUUAAAGGGAGCGUAGGUGGAUUGUUAAGUCAGUUGUGAAAGUUUGCGGCUCAACCGUAAAAUUGCAGUUGAAACUGGCAGUCGUGAGUACAGUAGAGGUGGGCGGAAUUCGUGGUGUAGCGGUGAAAUGCUUAGAUUGCACGAAGAACUCCGAUUGCGAAGGCAGCUCACUGGACUGCAACUGACACUGAGGCUCGAAAGUGUGGGUAUCAAACAGGAUUAGAUACCCCUGUAGUC
rnacentral:rRNA from 1 species